rnacentral:rRNA from 1 species
GCCUAUCAGGUAGUAGUGGGUGUAACGUACCUACUAGCCUAUGACGGGUAUGGGCCUUGAGAGAGGGAGCCCAGAGUUGGAUUCUGAGACACGAAUCCAGGCCCUACGGGGCGCAGCAGUCGCGAAAACUUCACACUGGGGGCAACCCCGAUGAGGGAAUUCCUAGUGCUAGCACAUUAGUGUUAGCUUUUCUUCAGCAUAGAUAACUGGAGGAAUAAGGGCUGGGUAAGACGGGUGCCAGCCGCCGCGGUAAUACCUGCAGCCCAAGUGGUGGUCGAUAUUAUUGAGUCUAAAACGUUCGUAGCCGGUUUAAUAAAUCCUUGGGUAAAUCGGGGGGCUUAACCUUCCGAAUUCCGAGGAGACUGUUAAACUUGGGACCGGGAGAGGCAAGAGGUACUUCUGGGGUAGGGGUAAAAUCCUGUAAUCCUAGAAGGACCACCGGUGGCGAAGGCGUCUUGCUAGAACGGAUCCGACGGUGAGGGACGAACCCCUGGGGCGCAAACGGGAUUAGAUACCCCCGGUAGUCCAGGGUGUAAACGCUGCAGACUUGGUGCUGGAGGCCCUUCGGGGGCAUUCAGUGCCAGAGAGAAGUUGUUAAGUCUGCUACUUGGGGAGUACGUCCGCAAGGAUGAAACUUAAAGGAAUUGGCGGGGGAGCACCGCAACGGGAGGAGCGUGCGGUUUAAUUGGAUUCAACACCGGAAAACUCACCAGGGGAGACUGUUACAUGAAAGCCAGGCUAAUGACUUUGCUAGAUUUUCAGAGAGGUGGUGCAUGGCCGUCGUCAGUUCGUACCGUAAGGCGUUCUCUUAAGUGAGAUAACGAACGAGACCCUCACCAAUAGUUGCUACUUUACCCUCCGGGGUGGAGGCACACUAUUGGGACCGCUGGCGCUAAGUCAGAGGAAGGAGAGGUCAACGGUAGGUCAGUAUGCCCCGAAUCUCCUGGGCUACACGCGCGCUACAAAGGGCGGGACAAUGGGCUCCGACACCGAAAGGUGAAGGCAAUCUCGAAACCCGUCCGUAGUUCGGAUUGAGGGUUGUAACUCACCCUCAUGAAGCUGGAUUCCGUAGUAAUCGCGAAUCAACAACUCGCGGUGAAUAUGCCCCUGCUCC